rnacentral:rRNA from 1 species
ACUGAACGCUGGCGGCAGGCUUAACACAUGCAAGUCGAGCGGAGAUGAGGUGCUUGCACCUUAUCUUAGCGGCGGACGGGUGAGUAAUGCUUAGGAAUCUGCCUAUUAGUGGGGGACAACAUUCCGGAAGGAAUGCUAAUACCGCAUACGUCCUACGGGAGAAAGCAGGGGAUCUUCGGACCUUGCGCUAAUAGAUGAGACUAAGUCGGAUUAGCUAGUUGGUGGGGUAAAGGCCUACCCAGGCGACGAUCUGUAGCGGGUCUGAGAGGAUGAUCCGCCACACUGGGACUGAGACACGGCCCAGACUCCUACGGGAGGCAGCAGUGGGGAAUAUUGGACAAUGGGGGGAACCCUGAUCCAGCCAUGCCGCGUGUGUGAAGAAGGCCUUAUGGUUGUAAAGCACUUUAAGCGAGGAGGAGGCUCUUUUGGUUAAUACCCAAGAUGAGUGGACGUUACUCGCAGAAUAAGCACCGGCUAACUCUGUGCCAGCAGCCGCAGUAAAAC